AUUAGGGAGUGCAAUUUCUGAUAGAUGUAGAAUGAAACCGAUUACACCAAAAAUUGCAAUUGAAUAAAAUUUAGAAAAAAAUAAAAUGGAAUACAAUGUUAUAAGUGUGAGUAGAACAGAAUAGAAUUAUAAGGAUUGAAAUAGGAUGAAAUAGAAUAGAAUGAAAUACAGUGGGAUAGAAUGAUAUAGAAUAGAUUGAAAUACAGUGGGAUAGAAUGAUAUAGAAUAGAUUGAAAUAGAAUAGAAUAAAAUGGAAUGUUGUAGAAUGAAAUGGAAAACAAUGAAAUAGAAUAGAAUUGAAUGAAAUAGAAUGGAAUAGAAUGAAAUAGAAAACAAUGAAAUAGAAUAGAAUGAACUAGAGUGGGAUAGAAUGAUAUAGAAUAGAUUGGAAUAGAAUGGAAUAAAAUGACAUGAUAUAUGAAUGGAAUGAAGUAUAAUUUAAUGAGAUGGAAUAAGUAGAAUAGAAUGGAAUAGAAUAGUG